UACGUAGGUGGCAAGCGUUAUCCGGAAUUACUGGGCGUAAAGCGCACGCAGGCGGUCUUUUAAGUUUGACGUGAAAGCUCUCGGCUUAACUGGGAGAGGUCGUUGAAGACUGGAAGGCUUGAGGCAAUGAGAGGGGUGUAGAAUUCCCGGUGUAGUGGUGGAAUGCGCAGAUAUCGGGGGGAAUACCAGUGGCGAAAGCGGCACCCUAGCGUUAGCCUGACGCUCAUGUGCGAAAGCGUGGGGAGCGAACGGG
rnacentral:rRNA from 1 species